rnacentral:rRNA from 1 species
UACGUAGGGUCCGAGCGUUGUCCGGAAUUACUGGGCGUAAAGAGCUCGUAGGUGGUUUGUCGCGUUGUUCGUGAAAACUCACAGCUCAACUGUGGGCGUGCGGGCGAUACGGGCAGACUUGAGUACUGCAGGGGAGACUGGAAUUCCUGGUGUAGCGGUGGAAUGCGCAGAUAUCAGGAGGAACACCGGUGGCGAAGGCGGGGUCUCUGGGCAGUAACUGACGCUGGAGGAGCGAAAAGCGUGGGGAGCGAACAGG